rnacentral:rRNA from 1 species
AUUGAACGCUGGCGGCAGGCCUAACACAUGCAAGUCGAACGGUAACAGGAAGCAGCUUGCUGCUUUGCUGACGAGUGGCGGACGGGUGAGUAAUGUCUGGGAAACUGCCCGAUGGAGGGGGAUAACUACUGGAAACGGUAGCUAAUACCGCAUAACGUCGCAAGACCAAGAGGGGGACCUUAGGGCCUCUUGCCAUCGGAUGUGCCCAGAUGGGAUUAGCUAGUAGGUGGGGUAACGGCUCACCUAGGCGACGAUCCCUAGCUGGUCUGAGAGGAUGACCAGCCACACUGGAACUGAGACACGGUCCAGACUCCUACGGGAGGCAGCAGUGGGGAAUAUUGCACAAUGGGCGCAAGCCUGAUGCAGCCAUGCCGCGUGUAUGAAGAAGGCCUUCGGGUUGUAAAGUACUUUCAGCGGGGAGGAAGGGAGUAAAGUUAAUACCUUUGCUCAUUGACGUUACCCGCAGAAGAAGCACCGGCUAACUCCGUG